CGGGACUGGCGGGGCUCGAACCCGCAGCUU
rnacentral:tRNA from 1 species